rnacentral:rRNA from 1 species
UACGUAGGGUGCAAGCGUUGUCCGGAAUUAUUGGGCGUGAAGAGCUCGUAGGCGGUCUGUCGCGUCUGCUGUGAAAACCUAGGGCUUAACUCUGGGCGUGCAGUGGGUACGGGCAGGCUAGAGUGCGGUAGGGGAGACUGGAAUUCCUGGUGUAGCGGUGAAAUGCGCAGAUAUCAGGAGGAACACCGGUGGCGAAGGCGGGUCUCUGGGCCGAUACUGACACUGAGGAGCGAAAGCGUGGGGAGCGAACAGG